GAUGAACGCUGGCGGCGUACCUAAUACAUGCAAGUCGAGCGAACAGACGAGGGGCUUGCUCCUCUGACGUUAGCGGCGGACGGGUGAGUAACACGUGGAUAACCUACCUAUAAGACUGGGAUAACUUCGGGAAACCGGAGCUAAUACCGGAUAAUAUAUUGAACCGCAUGGUUCAAUAGUGAAAGACGGUUUUGCUGUCACUUAUAGAUGGAUCCGCGCCGCAUUAGCUAGUUGGUAAGGUAACGGCUUACCAAGGCAACGAUGCGUAGCCGACCUGAGAGGGUGAUCGGCCACACUGGAACUGAGACACGGUCCAGACUCCUACGGGAGGCAGCAGUAGGGAAUCUUCCGCAAUGGGCGAAAGCCUGACGGAGCAACGCCGCGUGAGUGAUGAAGGUCUUCGGAUCGUAAAACUCUGUUAUUAGGGAAGAACAAAUGUGUAAGUAACUAUGCACGUCUUGACGGUACCUAAUCAGAAAGCCACGGCUAACUACGUG
rnacentral:rRNA from 1 species